UACGGAGGGUGCAAGCGUUGUCCGGAUUUAUUGGGUUUCAAGUGUGCGUAGGCGGCCCGUUAAGUCAGCGGUGAAAUCCCAGGGCUCAACCCUGGAACUGCCGUUGAUACUGGCGGGCUUUAGUUCGGUCGCGGCGGGCGGAACUGGCGGUGUAGCGGUGAAAUGCUUAGAUACCGCCAAGAACCCCGAUUGCGUAGGCAGCUCGCUUGGCCGAAACUGACGCGGAGGCACGAGAGCGUGGGGAGCGAACAGG
rnacentral:misc_RNA from 1 species